rnacentral:rRNA from 1 species
GACGAACGCUGGCGGCGUGCCUAAUACAUGCAAGUCGAGCGAAGUUUUUCUGGUGCUUGCACUAGAAAAACUUAGCGGCGAACGGGUGAGUAACACGUAAAGAACCUGCCUCAUAGACUGGGACAACUAUUGGAAACGAUAGCUAAUACCGGAUAACAGUAUUUCUCGCAUGGGAGAUAUUUAAAAGUUGGUUAUGCUAACACUAUGAGAUGGCUUUGCGGUGCAUUAGCUAGUUGGUGGGGUAAAGGCCCACCAAGGCGACGAUGCAUAGCCGACCUGAGAGGGUGAUCGGCCACACUGGGACUGAGACACGGCCCAGACUCCUACGGGAGGCAGCAGUAGGGAAUCUUCCGCAAUGGGCGAAAGCCUGACGGAGCAACGCCGCGUGAGUGAAGAAGGAUUUCGGUUCGUAAAGCUCUGUUGUUAGGGAAGAAUGGAUAUGUAGUAACUAUACAUGUACGAGACGGUAC